GAUGAACGCUAGCGGCAGGCCUAAUACAUGCAAGUCGAACGGUGUCUUCGGACAUAGUGGCGCACGGGUGCGUAACACGUAUGCAACCUACCUUACAUUGGGGGAUAGCCUUUCGAAAGGGAGAUUAAUACCGCAUAAGACAGUAGCUGGGCAUCCAGCAGCUGUUAAAGAUUUAUCGAUGUAAGUUGGGCAUGCGUCCAAUUAGCUAGUUGGUGAGGUAACGGCCCACCAAGGCAAUGAUUGGUAGGGGAACUGAGAGGUCAAUCCCCCACACUGGCACUGAGAUACGGGCCAGACUCCUACGGGAGGCAGCAAUAGGGAAUAUUGGGCAAUGGACGCAAGUCUGACCCAGCCAUGCCGCGUGCAGGAUGAAGGCGUUAUGCGUUGUAAACUGCUUUUAUACAGGAAGAAACGACUCUUGCGAGAGGCAUUGACGGUACUGUAUGAAUAAGCACCGGCUAACUCCGUGCCAGCCGCCGCUGUAAGAC
rnacentral:rRNA from 1 species